GUAGGUGGCAAGCGUUGUCCGGAAUUAUUGGGGCGUAAAGCGCGCGCAGGCGGUUCUUUAAGUCUGAUGUGAAAGCCCACGGGCUCAACCGUGGAGGGUCAUUGGAAACUGGAGAACUUGAGUACAGAAGAGGAAAGCGGAAUUCCACGUGUAGCGGUGAAAUGCGUAGAGAUGUGGAGGAACACCAGUGGCGAAGGCGGCUUUCUGGUCUGUAACUGACGCUGAGGCGCGAAAGCGUGGGGAGCAAACAGGAUUAGAUACCCUGGUAGUCCACGCCGUAAACGAUGAGUGCUAAGUGUUAGGGGGUUUCCGCCCCUUAGUGCUGCAGCUAACGCAUUAAGCACUCCGCCUGGGGAGUACGGCCGCGAGGCUG
rnacentral:rRNA from 1 species